GAACUCACCUCUUCCUCAAAGGAGACAUUUGUUUCCGGUGGCCCCAGAGUGUACGUAACAGAACUUUUGAAUGUCUGCCGCCGAUCAACGAUGAUACAAUUAGCGUUGUCGAGGGGCACUAUGGGGUGGAAAAGGAGGGAAGAAAAGGUAGCAGACAAUUGCAAGAGGGUAUCAGGCAAGUGUCCGAAGAGCUGUUUUGUGGUGGACACGCCUCGAGAGUACCU
ensembl:ncRNA H22K11.7 ncRNA